GUUCGACGCCGGAUUAUGAUAUGGAGGAAGGAAAGAUUGUUGAAGAUGAUGCUGAAUCUGGUGAAAUCAAAAUGUUAUCAUCUAUUUUCCAGGCCAAAGUUUAAAAAUUUAGGCGUAUCUUGAAGACUACUACUACCGCUGAUGAUUUCCAACUGAUUUGAAACACAUGGCGAUAGACUAGUGUCUAAUCAUAGUCUUGGUUCCUUUUUGAAUGACGAGGACCAUGAAAAGGAUGUGUCUAAGAUACAUG